GAUGAAGAACGUAGCGAAAUGCGAUACGUAAUGUGAAUUGCAGAAUUCAGUGAAUCAUCGAAUCUUUGAACGCAUAUUGCGCUCUCUGGUAUUCCGGAGAGCAUGCUUGUUUGAGUAUCAGUAAACACCUCAACUUCCAUAUCUUUUUUGAAAUGGGAAUUGGACUUGAGUGAUCCCAACGCUUUUCCUCACCGAAAAGUGGCGGGUUACUUGAAAUGCAGGUGCAGCUGGACUUUUCUCUGAGCUAUAAGCAUAUCUAUUUAGUCUGCCUAAAAACAGAUUAUUACCUUUGCUGCAGCUAACAUAAAGGAGAUUAGUUCUUGUGCUGACUGAUGCAGGAUUCACAAAGACAGGCUUCGGCCGACUUUGUAAACUCGAUCUCAAAUCAAGUAAGACUACCCGCUGAACUUAAGCAUAUCAAUAAGCGGAGGA
rnacentral:misc_RNA from 1 species